AGAGUUUGAUCCUGGCUCAGGAUGAACGCUAGCUACAGGCUUAACACAUGCAAGUCGAGGGGAAACGGACAUCGAAAGCUUGCUUUUGAUGGGCGUCGACCGGCGCACGGGUGAGUAACGCGUAUCCAACCUGCCCAUCACUUGGGGAUAACCUUGCGAAAGUAAGACUAAUACCCAAUGACGUCUCUAGAAGACAUCUGAAAGAGAUUAAAGAUUUAUCGGUGAUGGAUGGGGAUGCGUCUGAUUAGCUUGUUGGCGGGGUAACGGCCACCAAGGCGACGAUCAGUAGGGGUUCUGAGAGGAAGGUCCCCCANAUUGGAACUGAGACACGGUCCAAACGUCCUACGGGAGGCA
rnacentral:rRNA from 1 species